rnacentral:rRNA from 1 species
UACGAAGGGGGCUAGCGUUGUUCGGAAUUACUGGGCGUAAAGCGUGCGCAGGCGGCCAUCCAAGUCAGUGGUGAAAGCCCGGAGCCUCAACUCCGGAAUUGCCAUUGAAACUGUUUGGCUCGAGUACGAGAGAGGUGCGUGGAAUUCCCGGUGUAGCGGUGAAAUGCGUAGAUAAGUCGGGAGGAACGACCUGUGGCGAAAGCGGA